UAUGGCGACCGGCGCACGGGUGAGUAACACGUAUCCAACCUGCCGAUGACUCGGGGAUAGCCUUUCGAAAGAAAGAUUAAUACCCGAUGGCAUAGUUCUUCCGCAUGGUAAAACUAUUAAAGAAUUUCGGUCAUCGAUGGGGAUGCGUUCCAUUAGGUUGUUGGCGGGGUAACGGCCCACCAAGCCUUCGAUGGAUAGGGGUUCUGAGAGGAAGGUCCCCCACAUUGGAACUGAGACACGGUCCAA
rnacentral:rRNA from 1 species